AACGUGCGCGAAGAUCGUCCUCUUUCCGCCGGAGACUGGGUUGAAUGAGAUCCUGUAGAUAUGGAUUGGAAGAAGUGCACUGUGCCUGCAAAUUGGCACAACUGUGGCUAACCAUGCUAAGAUGCUGAUGGAUCACUGACAGCUGUAUCUCUGAAACUUGAGCAGUCUAUCAGCAGUGUAAACAGACUUUCAUGUAAUUGCAGGUGCCAUGGUAACUAAUCGAAUACUGACUGCAGCAGCCCAGAUUUUUCAGCAUUAACUUGUAGCAGGCUAAUGGUUAUGAAUUUGGAUGAAUUCUGAAACUGGUACAGAAUGGUUGAUCCAAUCCUUAAUUGCAACACCGCUAACUGCUUGAGAUGCACAUUCAGGAUGUUUAUCUGUGCUUUCUGUUUUUGAAUAAAAGUUCACUUAAUGUA